rnacentral:lncRNA from 13 species
UAAUAAACCUUUCUCAAUUUAUUGUUAGGGUAAGUUCACUGUGUCAAAAAUUCUCUUACUCACUCUUAUGCUAUCCCUCCCUACCACUGCUGGUAACCCCUCCUCCCUUUACACAUGGUUUGUGAAAUGUCUUAAAAAUAGAUUUCACUUGGAGUGGGUGAAACUCCAACCCUGAGAUAGUGAAAUAGGUUUCAGCUUGCAUCUUGACUCUGGUCAAUUGAUAAUGACAGCUGGAACACUGUAUGGGGAUGGCUUUGAAGCCAUAUUCUCGCUCACAAGGAAAGGAUGAUGUGAUGGUAAAGAUGGGAUCAAAGGACCAUGAACCAGGAAAGGGCAUGUGAGGACAUAGCAAGAAGAUGGUCAUCAACAAGCCUGGAAGAGAGACUCCACCUGAUACUGAAUCCAUUGAAAGAUUGAUUCUGAACUUCUAGCCUCCAAAACUGUUUUAUACACGAAUUCUGCAUUUUGCCAGAAGUUGAAGAUCUUUCUAAUACUCUGUACUCAAGAGGAAGGCAGAGCUUUCUAUGUGGAGUGACUGAAACAAUUUCGUCCAAAUGUUUGUUGCCACGGGCAAAAUAUCUAAAGAUUGUUCACUUGAAAAUUAUGACUCUUUUUCAGAAUUUUACAUCGUGUUAUUUGUUUUAUGGACUAUUCAGUAUGCAUUGCACCAACACUAAUUACUGCACUAAUAAGUCAGCGUGCUACCAAGAUGUUUUGCCAUUAUAAUUACAGCCACAUGUUGUUGUCCUUCCUCAAAUAGUCCAGGCUUAAUUGCAUCAUUUUUCAGGAGAAUUUAUGUGGUACAGCUUAAUUCAAAAUUACUACAUGAAUAAAUGAAGUGUAAACUAUUUUUUGUACUGACUC